UUCCAAAAAGAUGUAAACUGAAUUAAAAAGAAAUUAAUGUCUUAGCUUACCGGUACCUACUAGAUUAUUUUUACUAUUCUAAAUACUAAAUCUCAGUAUUAUAGUGUUGAAUGAGAGAAUUUGGGAUUUCUGAAAAUUGUUCAAGUUGAUGAAGAACCCUACUCCAGCGUGGGCUAUAGUACAAUAGGUCUAUAGCAAUAUAGAUACCAAUUAUGCAUCCAAACGCUCACAAUGGCAAUAAGUAAAAGUGAUAGAUAGCAAUGUUGAUGAUACUGAUGCAAAUAUUGUAGAUAACAAGUUGACGAUGACCUGCUACAUUUAAAACUGGAGGAAAAAAUCAGAGACGCCGAGGAAAUUUCUAGGCAACUUGAUAUCCGUAAAAACUCGACUGAUAUAUUAGUUGGAAAAUUCUUAAAGCACGAGAUUGUUGAAUCGGAGAUGAUACAAGCUAAACCUGCAGAAGGGAUCAGAAAAAGAAAUGUCACUGAGGACAGCCAAUCAAAGUGGAUAUUAAUGGUAAUAAAAACCGGAUGCAAAGUGUAUUGGCAGAUACAAACUCAUACUACACAGAACUAGAAAUAUUCUAUUCAUUAAUUUUGAGGAUGAAAUGACGCAAACAUCCACUCUUCCCUUCAGUACUACUAUACUCGGAGCUCAGCAUCCUCAGCAUAAGACAGAUUUACAUUCACAGACUUGUAACAUUCACCAGAAAGAACCCACAAAUCUUCAUCAAUUUGAAUCACCCGCAAGGAACACGCAGAAGGAAUAUGGACUUGGAAAUUCCCAGGAUGACAACAUCAGCUGCUCAGAGGUAAUGAUUUUUAUUCGAUUUCAUGUGAUGAAAGAGCAGAAUGUGACGGAAUUGGUGUUUUCUUCAUCAUCUACUACCGUCUAUGGACAUUCUGAAUAUGGUACCUAGGCUACCUAUCUGUGAAAAACACCCACCUGGACAAAAAUCCUUAUGGGUGAGCGAUGGGGCGAUGCCUAUCAAUUCUACAAGAUUAAAUGGAACCUGACAAACUUCAUCUGUAUGGCUUUAGGGUGUCGAAAACAACAAAUUUGAUCCGUCGGCGCCGGAACCAGAAACGGAACCUUCCAAAGAGGAGGAGAAUCCCACUUCCAAGACUGAUAAAGACAUCGCUUUUUGUUAUUCAUAUUGUCAAUCAACAGCUGGUGGCUGACUCUACUUCGAACGGUUUUCAAGCUUUAAAACCGCAAUGAGUUUCAAAAUAGAUUUAAAAAGUGAAUAUAGGCUAUUGAUAUAAACACUUCAAUUAUAUUGGCUACUUUUCUACAAAUUAAUGAAAACAAUAUAAAAACUUUAAAGUAUUUUAACGACUAGUUUCGACCAUAGGUCAUAGGUCAAGUUCAUUUUUAAACUUGAGAAUGAUAUGGUCGAUACUAGCCGUUGAAAUAUUUUAAAGAUAUUCUAACUAAAGUUAUUAACUAAAUAAUUCAGGCUAUUCAUACUAUUUCACUUCAAAUUGUAACAAUUAAUGAGUUUCAAGAAUGUUCGUUCCUCUUUUGCUUCAAGAUCUAACACUGGAGGUUUUCAAAAGAUCUGAAAUAAUUUAUUAAUAUUUAUUUUGAUCAUAUAUUUUAAGUGUAUCUCAGAUAUCUUCAAAAUAGCAAAACUCCCUUCUUAAUGGGAAUACUCAGUAUUUUCAUAUUUAUAUUAUGUACAAAGUCUUGUUUAAUGAUCUAGUUUUAUAAAACUAGAUAUAAAUUAUUUAUUGUUUAUUCAUAGUUUUUGGGUGAAUUCUAGUGAUCCAUGUCAAUAUAACUUUGAUGGAUCCCGAAUGUUUCCUUGUGUAUGUAGAAUCACCUUUCUUUGUGAGAAUUACCUUUCAACCCCAACUAACGCUCAAUGUUGUAAAGCUGUAGUUUUGAUAAUCCUUAUCAUUCUACUGAAAUUUUCUUAUAGAAAAUAAUAAAAGUUCUAUUCAACUUGGUAUUCAUCAUUCAACAAAUCAUUAUUUUUUGUAGUUGAUUAAUCAGUAAUCAAUUUUAAUCAGUAUUUGGAGUUGAACAUUUUACAAAUUAAUGGCAAUUUGUAUUUUUAUGUAUGAAAUAUUUAUUUAGAAACUAAAAUUUCAUAAUACAAUGGAAUACCUAGGAAUAAUAAUCUUAUUUGUUAUUUCAUGUUCAUCAUAUUUAUUUGAAAGUAUAAUGAGUGUAAACGGUUUCUUCCCAAUGCAUUUAUAUAGAAAUCAUAGCAAGCGUAAUCCAACUGUUUUCCAACUGUAGAUUCUGUGUUACCAAUUCUAGACAUGUUAAUGAAUAGUACUAGGAUUUAAUGUAAUAAAUAUUUCUAUUCACACGUGUUUCAAAUUGUGAGACGGGAUGUUUCUGUUGAAAAGUAAAACUAUUUUCUACUGCUGAAAAACAAUUGAAAUGCUAAUAUUCCAAUUUGAAAUGAAAAAACAUAUAGGUAACAGAUUUUUUCAUAAUUCUUGUAAGAAAAUAAUUUCAGAUUUCAUUGUAAGUAUGUUAUGGCACUCUUUGUUAUAAAAAAUUGAUUUCAAAUGCCAAUAAAAGUACCAUA